rnacentral:rRNA from 1 species
AUGGCGAUGGCGCCGCCGCGGCUCCUCCUCCUCCUCGCCCUGUUUGCCUGCCUGAGCCUCGUCUCUGCCACCCUGUCGCCCCGGCCGCUCCCACGCACCGACGACGACGGCCUCGCGCGGACCACCGGCAGCUCCUCGUCGUCUUCGGAGCGAGGCGUGGGCGCGCGGACUUGCUGGUACACGGUGCAGAUCAAGACGAGCUGCUCCUCUCCGGCGCGCACGUCGGACGCGAUCAGCCUGGCGUUCGGGGACGUGUACCGCGACGAGGUGUACGCGGCGCGGCUGGGCGGCGCCGCCGGCGCGUUCGACCGGUGCGCCACCGACACGUUCAAGAUCGGGGGGCCCUGCGGGUACGGCGUCUGCUACCUCUACCUCCGCCGCGCCGGCCGCACCGGGUGGACGCCGGAGUGGGUCAGGGUGUACGAGCCCACCGCCCCCAGCGCGCCCUCCACCUUCCGCUACGGCGACCCGCUCCCCAACAACGUCUGGUACGGCUUCAACCGCUGCCCGCGCCUCGCCUCCUCCUCCUCCUCGUCGUCUCCUUCCUCUGCUGCUGGUGCUGCACAGGCGAUGUAG